rnacentral:rRNA from 1 species
CGCGUAGGUGGUUUGUUAAGUUGGAUGUGAAAGCCCCGGGCUCAACCUGGGAACUGCAUCCAAAACUGGCAAGCUAGAGUACGGUAGAGGGUGGUGGAAUUUCCUGUGUAGCGGUGAAAUGCGUAGAUAUAGGAAGGAACACCAGUGGCGAAGGCGGCUUCCUGGCCGGAUACUGAUGCUCAAGUGCGAAAGCUGGGGGAGCGAACG